rnacentral:rRNA from 1 species
GGCGAACGCUGGCGGCGUGCUUAACACAUGCAAGUCGAACGGAAAGGCCCUGCUUUUGUGGGGUGCUCGAGUGGCGAACGGGUGAGUAACACGUGAGUAACCUGCCCUUGACUUUGGGAUAACUUCAGGAAACUGGGGCUAAUACCGGAUAGGAGCUCCUGCUGCAUGGUGGGGGUUGGAAAGUUUCGGCGGUUGGGGAUGGACUCGCGGCUUAUCAGCUUGUUGGUGGGGUAGUGGCUUACCAAGGCUUUGACGGGUAGCCGGCCUGAGAGGGUGACCGGCCACAUUGGGACUGAGAUACGGCCCAGACUCCUACGGGAGGCAGCAGUGGGGAAUAUUGCACAAUGGGCGGAAGCCUGAUGCAGCAACGCCGCGUGCGGGAUGACGGCCUUCGGGUUGUAAACCGCUUUCGCCUGUGACGAAGCGUGAGUGACGGUAAUGGGUAAAGAGGCACCGGCUAACUACG